UAUUUAUCUCUCCUCUCUAUUUC
rnacentral:siRNA from 1 species